UACGUAGGGUGCAAGCGUUGUCCGGAUUUAUUGGGCUUAAAGGGUUCGUAGGCGGUCUUUUAAGUCAGCUGUGAAAUCCUCCAGCUUAACUGGAGAACUGCCAUUGAUACUGGAAGACUUGAGUACAGACGAGGUAGGCGGAAUUGACAGUGUAGCGGUGAAAUGCAUAGAUAUUGUCAAGAACACCGAUUGCGAAGGCAGCUUACUAGACUGUAACUGACGCUGAGGCACGAAAGUGUGGGGAUCAAACAGG
rnacentral:rRNA from 1 species